ACGAACUGAAACAUUUUGCAUAGCGAAAGUUCAUUUUAGUUAUCGCGUAGAGCUAAAAAACUUAAAAGACAGACUAAAUAACACCCAUCAAAUUAUUUUAGGGAAAUGGAAACUACAUAGCAAACCUCAAAAAGAAAAACCAAGAACUCGUAGCAAAUCAGACAUAAAUCUUCAACAUGACGUUCUGAAAGGACUUCGUAAGCCCAAGCAAGGACAAGCACGCGAGAAAGAUGCACAGAUCCGGCCAAUCAAGUUGGUAUCUUGUAGAUAACCUUCUGACGGGCAAAAUAGCGAGAACAAGCGGACAAACGUUCGGCGCCCGAUCAAAAUAGCUUCAAAAUAUAGAAAAACAGAAAUGAGAACCCUUCACCGACUGUUUUAGCGCACACUAUCAGCCGGCUGGAUAUUGUUGACGAAAUUUUAUUUAAACGUUUACAAGGCGAUAGAAAUUUUACGGGUUUUGUCUAUUCUUCUUAUUUUAAUCUAAUUUUCAUUAUUCAAAGACUGAUUAAAAAUUUUAUGCUUA